AGAAUCAACGCUGGCGGCGUGCCUAACACAUGCAAGUCGAACGAGAAAGUGGAGCAAUCCAUGAGUAAAGUGGCGCACGGGUGAGUAACACGUGACUAACCUACCCUUGAGUGGGGGAUAACCUAGAGAAAUCUGGGCUAAUACCGCAUAAUACCUUCGGGUCAAAGGAGCAAUUCGCUUAAGGAGGGGGUCGCGGCCGAUUAGUUAGUUGGCGGGGUAAUGGCCCACCAAGACUAUGAUCGGUAUCCGGCCUGAGAGGGCGCACGGACACACUGGAACUGAAACACGGUCCAGACUCCUACGGGAGGCAGCAGUGGGAAUUUUGCGCAAUGGGGGAAACCCUGACGCAGCAACGCCGCGUGGAGGAUGAAGUCCCUUGGGACGUAAACUCCUUUCGAUCGGGACGAUAAUGACGGUACCGAGAGAAGAAGCCCGGCUAACUUCGCGCCAGCAGCCGC
rnacentral:rRNA from 1 species